rnacentral:lncRNA from 1 species
AUCCGUGGUGAUUAAAAAGUGUAAAAUCUAUAAAUGACCUGAUGAGAAGGGGAAGGUUUUUUUCAGUGUGAUGCGUUGAUCAUUUUUAAUACUGAUUAUUAUCUCUCAGGGAAUUCCUGGACGUGAAGGACCAAUCGGCCAACCAGGUUUCCCAGGAUGCAAUGGGACAAAGGUAGCAAUGUUGACCUUCUCAACAGGUCAUCCUAUUUUACUGAAGGCAGUUUGAAUCCUGCCGGGCAGAGGUCGGGACUCAGGGGACAUGGAGACACAUUUUCAUUUCCAUCAAUGAAAGUCACUCACAAGAGACAUGUUUGGGCAGUUUCUGCCUGGUCAAGGCAGCUUAUCACCAACAGCUACAUCAACCUCAAGAAUCUUCAGAAAUCACCUGACCUCACCCACACACGACUGAUUUAUUGACUGAGGUAUUGAUUGAUUGAUGUCUUCCAGGGCGAUGUUGGGUACCAAGGACUCCCUGGAGUUCCAGGACCUGUUGGCUUUCGAGGUCGUCCCGGAAUGCGAGGCACAAAGGGCAACUCGUUCGUCUUCCCCGUCCCUCCGGACAUUAAAGGACUGACAGGUCAACAGGGACUAGAAGGACAGAAGGUCAGUGUCACGGUCCAGGCAAGACAACAUGUCCUCCUCACGCUACCAGCGGAGAUGUGGACGGCGUCUGUCUUCACAGGCCGAUGGACCUCGUGGUCAAUUGAUCAUCACAUAUAUGAAAUUAAAAAUAUGGAGAACAAUGUUGUUGGAUUUCAAGGCUGCUGUGGUACCAAGAAGAGUUGUAGUUAA